AAGUCGAACGGUAGCAGCAGAAGCUUGCUUCUGGCUGACGAGUGGCGACGGGUGAGUAACGCGUGGGAAUCUACCCUUUAGCGGGGGACAACUCGAGGGAGCUCGAGCUAAUACCGCAUAAUCCCUUCGGGGCAAAGGCUUCGGCCACUAUUGGAUGAGCCCGCGUCCGAUUAGCUUGUUGGUAGGGUAAUGGCCUACCAAGGCGACGAUCGGUAGCUGGUCUGAGAGGACGAUCAGCCACACUGGGACUGAGACACGGCCCAGACUCC
rnacentral:rRNA from 1 species